GUAGGAGAUACAGCAGGGGACCGACGAGUGUGAGGCUGGAGCCCCCAGCAGUCGUGGUUGUGACCCACUGGCCUGUCUUGUAUUGUAAAAGCAGGACCAGGCUGGAGUACGGGGAGCCACGCAGACGGGAAACGCAUCCACAGGAGGAGCGCUCAGAUGCCCAGGCGGAGGCUGGCCCAGAUGUGCUGGAUGGCUCCUCCUGGGCUGCAGAACCAGGAGGCCCCGCAGGGGUGUUUGCUGGGGGAAGGGAGUUCCCUGCAGCCCUGUUUGGACUUGAUAACAGCGGAGAGCGCCACGGGCAGGAGAGACGGCGGUGACGCCCAUGGUGCUGCCCUGCAGAGAGGCAGAGGGACACCCAGCCCACUGGCCUCCACCAGAGCUGCAUAUGAGGGACACCUGGGAGCUUUAAAAACACAGAAGCCUGGAAAUAACCCAAGGGUCCAUGUGGGUGAAGGAGUAAACCAAGUGUGGUCUACCCAUGCACUGGAAUAGUAUUCAGCCCUAAAGAGGAAGGAAAUCCUGACCCAGGCUACAGCAUGGAUGAACCUAGAGGAUGGUCAUAAAUGAGAAAACACAUGCCCAAGCAGGACCCGCAGGCAGAUGUUGAGACGGUCACCUUUAUCCAGGGCACACAGGAGGCCCUCGCUGCUUUUCCUGCAGCAGCAGUGGCAACGGGGUCACGACCAAGGGUGCACGGCGCGCACUAGGACCUGAUGAAAGGCUCCUUCUGAAUCGUGAACUGACAGAAGAAUGCCCUGGGUCACAACUAAUAAAGGGCAUUGUUAACAGACGAGAACAAAGCUG
rnacentral:lncRNA from 1 species